GCGCACGGGUGCGUAACGCGUGGGAACCUGCCUUUAGGUUCGGAAUAACAGUGAGAAAUCGCUGCUAAUACCGGAUAAUGUCUUCGGACCAAAGAUUUAUCGCCUUUAGAUGGGCCCGCGUUAGAUUAGAUAGUUGGUGGGGUAAUGGCCUACCAAGUCGACGAUCUAUAGCUGGUCUGAGAGGAUGAUCAGCCACACUGGGACUGAGACACGGCCCAGACUCCUACGGGAGGCAGCAGUGGGGAAUAUUGGACAAUGGGCGAAAGCCUGAUCCAGCAAUGCCGCGUGAGUGAUGAAGGCCUUAGGGUUGUAAAGCUCUUUUACCAGGGAUGAUAAUGACAGUACCUGGAGAAUAAGCUCCGGCUAACUCCGUGCCAGCAGCCGCGGUAAUACGGAGGGAGCUAGCGUUGUUCGGAAUUACUGGGCGUAAAGCGCGCGUAGGCGGCUAUUUAAGUCAGGGGUGAAAUCCCGGGGCUCAACCCCGGAACUGCCUUUGAAACUGGAUGGCUAGAAUCCUGGAGAGGCGAGUGGAAUUCCGAGUGUAGAGGUGAAAUUCGUAGAUAUUCGGAAGAACACCAGUGGCGAAGGCGACUCGCUGG
rnacentral:rRNA from 1 species